GAUGAACGCUGGCGGCGUGCCUAAUACAUGCAAGUCGAGCGAACAGACGAGGAGCUUGCUCCUCUGACGUUAGCGGCGGACGGGUGAGUAACACGUGGAUAACCUACCUAUAAGACUGGGAUAACUUCGGGAAACCGGAGCUAAUACCUGAUAAUAUAUUGAACCGCAUUGUUCAAUAGUGAAAGACGGUUUUGCUGUCACUUAUAGAUGGAUCCGCGCCGCAUUAGCUAGUUGGUAAGUUAACGGCUUACCAAGGCGACGAUGCGUAGCCGACCUGAGAGGGUGAUCGGCCACACUGGAACUGAGACACGGUCCAGACUCCUACGGGAGGCAGCAGUAGGGAAUCUUCCGCAAUGGGCGAAAGCCUGACGGAGCAACGCCGCGUGAGUGAUGAAGGUCUUCGGAUCGUAAAACUCUGUUAUUAGGGAAGAACAAAUGUGUAAGUAACUAUGCACGUCUUGACGGUACCUAAUCAGAAAGCCACGGCUAACUACGUG
rnacentral:rRNA from 1 species